rnacentral:lncRNA from 1 species
AUAGUAAUCCCAAUAGCUUCACAAGACGAUUCCCUUAGUGAAACACACGAAUCCCCAAACAUCAGCCGAAGUCCAGAAGAAGGGUACAAGAUGAACUAACUUUUAAUGGGUGCACACAGCUUUUAUGCAAGUCCCCAUGCAAGGGGACAACCCUCAGGGAGGGACAAAUAUUCACCAAUCAUAUACAGUAAAACUUUAACACACACCCCCAGUUCCCUCCCCUAGCCCUGGAGAUAAUGAAGUCUGAUAAGAUAGUAACUUAAUUAUCUCCGGGCUGAAAAAUCACUUUUUUCCUCAAUAACUGGAACACCCCUUUAUACUUGGGGUAUCCCCACAAAUAAUAUGUCCCCUGAUAGCCCUGAUCUGGGUGACCAACAUAUUCGAAUUUAACCCAGAUCGGUUCAGGGGUUCGCGAAAACUAUGGAUGUCUUCUGUGACCGGCUCACCCUGGGCUGUAUGCCCAAAACAGUUCCAUGAAUUUGGUGGGUUUUGCCGGUCACUUUAGAAAUAGCAGAAAAAUGAAUAAAGUACCGAAUGGAUCCCUCUGGCUCCUAGCAGUGUUCGUGCCCCUCUGUCGAAUACACCAAAGUACCGAAUAUCGCUCUUCUAGCUAUUCGGUAAAUAGAGUUCCAGCGUUCGUCUGUUUGGGACCGGUGUUCGGGAAGUCGAGUGUCCAUUUCCAGUUCCAUGCACUCGACGACCAGGUCCCGCUGCCUUUGUUCACAUGAACAAAGAUGGCCGCGGUUUUCUCUGCCACGUGGCGUUCGACUGUACGAACGUUGGCCGCACAGACAGAGGUAGCAAUUGAACCAGACUUUGAUGUUUAACGAGCCAGAGGGGUGGCCUUUGUUCGGUAGUGUGAUCCUUGUCAGCAGGUAGCACGGUCCUCUAGGGCAAAACAUGCACAGUCCUUAUAAGUGCAUAUACUCCAGGCACUUUAUUUGCAAAUCCACACAGGAUACAGCAGUAAAUGAAAACAUAAAUGUAACAGGUUUCCCUUUAAACAAAAACCUAGCUCGUCUGAGCACUGACUCACUUUAGGUUCCCUAUCGCUCAGGGUUAAACUAAACAAAACAAUAUUGCACCAACCUUAUUAGAUAGCAACACUCUGCUAGCUAGCCUGUUGCUUUUCUUUCUCCACUCCCAGUGCUCCAAGCCAGCCUUGCCCUGACUGCUUUCAUUUCUGCACUCCCAGUGCUCCAAGCCAGCCUUGACUGCUUCCUCCUGCACUCCCAGUGCUCCAAGCCAGCCUUGACUGCUUCCUUUCUGCACUCCCAGUGCCUAGUCUCCUUGACUCUCUAUCUGGAGAGAACAGCCUCUCUCCUACCUGCUUCCUGGGAGGAAGCCAGCAAUCCCUCUCCUUUACCUGCCUAGCAGGGAGGGGUUUAUUCCCACUGCAACAGCUCAUUAACUGCAGCUGAGCAGUGGGUUGGAGACGGUCCAAAAAACCCUGGCCUGGAUCUAUGUCUCCCCAGAAAACCACUAAACUGUGGAGUGGAGCACUGGCCCACCCUUCUCUCCAAAUGCUCCACCCCAGGGGCCCAUAACUAAACGGUGGUUUGUGUUGCCUACAACACAUACUACACAUACUCCCCCUGGGGUUAAAUGUUAUAGGCCUAUCUGCCUUCACUUUAUCACAGUAGUUACAUCUACCGAAUGCAAUGGGCAGAAAUAGUGUAACAAAAGGGAAUGCAAUGGGUAUACAUAAUACAACAAAAGGAAAUUUCUUCACAUACAGUUUAAGUUUACCCACACUUUAUAUAUAAAAAAAAAAGGUUUACAGUGCAAAUACUGCUGUUGCAUAUACUGUGCAUAAAUAAAAAAUGUUUACAGUGCAAAUACUGCUGUUGCAUAUAAUGUGCAUAAAAUUUGAACAUUUUCAACAAUUGCAAAAAACACCACUGUACCAUAACAUCAAAUAUAGAUUAAAAAAGUGCACAAUAACUAAAUCCAACAUACUUAAAACACUCACUAACAGACACACACUCACCCACUAACAGAUACACAUUCACAGACAGACACACACACACACUCACUCACAUUAACACACUCACUUUUAAAAUUUUCUUAUUUAACCCCCCCAGCCUCCUUACCUUUGGGAAUGCUGGGGGGGUUCUCCCUCUCCC